ACAUUGUCCCAGGUGUUGCAGUUACUAAUGUGAGCAAGACAUCCUCCUGGCCUUAGCGAGUGUACCCAGGAGUUAUAUAAAGGAUAUUCUGGGAGCCGGAAGAAGGAGCGAAUAAAGCAGACUGCACAGAUGGAACAUGGAAAGGCUUUUAACAGAAAUGAAUACUUUCAGACUAGGUUUGAAGGACUGAGUAGGAGUAAACUAAAAGAGAAAAAGCAGGACAAAAGAAGCACCACUUUGGAAGCUCAAAGCCGCACUGGAAACACAGUCUUUCAGGAUGUCUGAAAGGGGCAAGUCUGUUUGUGUGGGGUAAGAAAUGCGGGGAGACAAACGGACAGUGGACAGAUUGCAGAGAGCUCUGUGUGCUGAGAGGAGGGUGCAGACCAGAUUUUUAAAUUGAGAAUGCAACAGUGAAGGAUUUCAAGCUUGGAGUGAGAGGGGAGACUACGAGCCUGCAGUGAUAAGGCAAAGCUGAAGAUUUCAGAGCCAAGGCCACACCCUACAGUUGCCAUGGAAUGGGGUGGCACAGUGGGCUUUGGAGAUAUACAGGGAGUCCACGGAGCCUCCCCUGCAAGCAUCAGUACAGAAGUCGAUGAUAAUCUGGAUGCAAGCCCAGGAGUGUGGAGUCCACUGACUCAGAAGACCUGCAUCUAAGGAAUUGGCUGUUCUUAUCCUUAAGAAUGAUGACUGUGUUUCCAAUUCCAGUAGACCCUUUGAUGCGUUCUGAAUAAAUAUUCCUUUUGGAAUUGAACUUCUAGAGCCCUUAACUUUGGCCCACUCUAGUUUUCUGUCUGUUUUUUUUUUUUUUAAUAUUUUUUUUUUGUAAAGAUAAGGUCUUGCUUUGUUGCCCAGGCUGGUCUUGAAUUCCUGGACUCAAGCAAUCCACCUGCCUUGGCCUCCCAAAGUGCUGGGAUUAUAGGUGUGAACCAUUGUGUCCGAUCGCUCUCUGGUUUUUCUAAUAUCAUGAUCCCAACUCUGUUCUUUAUGUAAAUUUCCCUGAUCACAUGGUUGUAUCUUGGCAUUUCAAAAUCCUUGACAGACUUUGUUUUGUUUGAAUUUUACAAUGAACUUACAUGACUAGGCACGGUCCCCAGUUCAGUUUUAUAGACAAG
rnacentral:lncRNA from 1 species